rnacentral:rRNA from 1 species
UAACUUGCCCUUGGGUCCGGGAUAACCCCUGAGAAAYUGGGGACAAUACCGGAUAGGGCAUCGAUAGCUGGAAUGCRCGAUGUYCAAAAGCUGAGGCGCCCAAGGAUAGGUCUGCGGCCGAUUAGGUUGUUGUUGAUGUAAYGGAUCAACAAGCCUGCAAUCGGUACGGGUUGUGAGAGCAAKAGCCCGGAGAUGGGUUCUGAGAAAAGAACCCAGGUCCUACGGGACGCAUCAGGCGCGAAAACUUUACAAUGUGCGAAAGCACGAUAAGGGAACUCUGAGUGCCUCCUAUGGAGGCUGUUCAGGUGUCUAAAAAGCAYUUGAAGUAAGGGCUGGGUAAGACCGGUGCCAGCCGCCGCGGUAACACCGGCAGCCCAAGUGGUAGCCACGAUUAUUGGGUCUAAAGCGUCCGUAGCCGGCCARGUAAGUUCUUUGGGAAAUUUAACCGCUCAACGGUUAAGCUUUCAGGGAAUACUGCUUGGCUUGGGACCGGGAGAGGUCAGAGGUACUUCAAGGGUAGGGGUGAAAUCCGUUAAUCCUUGAGGGACCACCAGUAGCGAAGGCGUCUGACCAGACCGGGUCCGACGGUGAGGGACGAAGGCUAGGGUCGCGAACCGGAUUAGAUACCCGGGUAGUCCUAGCUGUAAACGAUGCGGGCCAGGUGUUGGCAUUACUGCGAGUGAUGUCAGUGCCGAAGGGAAGCCGUUAAGCCCGCCAUCUGGGGAGUACGGUCGCAAGGCUGAAACUUAA